rnacentral:snRNA from 1 species
CAUAUAGUAAUUUAUGUAAUAUAGUAAUAUAGUAAUACAGAGAAAAUUAACAUGACCCCUGCACAAGGAUGACAGGCAAACUCAAGAAGCUAUCUAGAUUUUU